GGGAUAACCCGGAGAAAUCCGGCCUAAUACCGCAUGUGGCCGAGGGGAGGCAUCUUUUUUCGGCCAAAGGAGGCGACUCCGGAGACGGAUGGGCAUGCGUGACAUUAGCUUGUCGGCGGGGUAACGGCCCACCAAGGCGACGAUGUCUAGGGGUUCUGAGAGGAAGGUCCCCCACACUGGUACUGAGACACGGACCAGACUCCUACGGGAGGCAGCAGUGAGGAAUAUUGGUCAAUGGGCGAGAGCCUGAACCAGCCAAGUCGCGUGAAGGAUGACGGCCCUAUGGGUUGUAAACUUCUUUUGUCAGGGAGCAAUUGGGUCCACGCGUGGGCUUAGCGAGAGUACCUGAAGAAAAAGCAUCGGCUAACUCCGUGCCAGCAGCCGCGGUAAUACGGAGGAUGCGAGCGUUAUCCGGAUUUAUUGGGUUUAAAGGGUGCGUAGGCGGAAUAUCAAGUCAGCGGUAAAAAUUCGGGGCUCAACCCCGUCGUGCCGUUGAAACUGAUGUUCUUGAGUGGGCGAGAAGUAUGCGGAAUGCGUGGUGUAGCGGUGAAAUGCAUAGAUAUCACGCAGAACUCCGAUUGCGAAGGCAGCAUACCGGCGCCCAACUGACGCUGAAGCACGAAAGCGUGGGUAUCGAACAGGAUUAGAUACCCUGGUAGUCCACGCAGUAAACGAUGAAUGAUAAUUGUCCGGA
rnacentral:rRNA from 1 species